rnacentral:rRNA from 1 species
CCUACGGGUGGCAGCAGUGGGGAAUAUUGGACAAUGGGCGAAAGCCUGAUCCAGCCAUGCCGCGUGUGUGAAGAAGGCCUUCGGGUUGUAAAGCACUUUCAGUGGGGAAGAAAGCCUUGGGGCUAAUACCCUCGAGGAAGGACAUCACCCACAGAAGAAGCACCGGCUAACUCCGUGCCAGCAGCCGCGGUAAUACGGAGGGUGCGAGCGUUAAUCGGAAUUACUGGGCGUAAAGCGCGCGUAGGCGGUCUGAUAAGCCGGUUGUGAAAGCCCCGGGCUCAACCUGGGAACGGCAUCCGGAACUGUCAGGCUAGAGUGCAGGAGAGGAUGGUAGAAUUCCCGGUGUAGCGGUGAAAUGCGUAGAGAUCGGGAGGAAUACCAGUGGCGAAGGCGGCCUUCUGGACUGACACUGACGCUGAGGUGCGAAAGCGUGGGUAGCAAACAGGAUUAGAUACCCGAGUAGUC